rnacentral:rRNA from 1 species
UACGUAGGGGGCUAGCGUUGUCCGGAAUCAUUGGGCGUAAAGAGCGUGUAGGCGGUCCGGUAAGUCCGCUGUGAAAGUCGGGGGCUCAACCCUCGAAUGCCGGUGGAUACUGUCGGGCUAGAGUGCGGAAGAGGCGAGUGGAAUUCCUGGUGUAGCGGUGAAAUGCGCAGAGCUCGGGAAGAACAUCGGUGGCGAAAGCGCUCUGCUGGACUGCAACUGACACUCAGGGACGAAAGCUAGGGGAGCGAAUGGG